rnacentral:lncRNA from 1 species
CCGCGCCCUGCCCCCUCGCCCCUCCCUGCGCCCCCGGCCGCCUCCGACCCCAGCGGAAAGGGGCUUCCUGCGCCUUCGCAGACACGUGUGCCCCUUUCAUUUCCGCGUCCCCAACAGGCGGGGAGGCAGGGUCCCAAGGAGAAGCGAUUUACUUGCCCAGUAUCACAAUGGGGGGCGGGGGGGACCGAGGGGAGAGAGGAGCCUGAAAUAAGGGUCGGAGAAAAAUUAGAAGUUUGUUCAUAGAACUGUUCCUACCAAGAACAACCGGGAGCACUUCUUAUAUCAUCAUGCCACUGGGCGUUUCAGGCUCUGGCACCAGAAUCCGGGAGAAGGUCACCACGAGAUGCCAGUAGGACGCUCCCCCCUGUGGACUUGGCCAUAAUCUUUCCCCAUCCUUCAAGACCGAAAGAGCCAUGUCCGUGGAGGCUGCCCUGGUUUCUCCAACGUCUCCUACCCCUGAGCCCUGGAGGACUCUGUCCGAACCUUCUGACUGGCCAAGAUGAAGACCACGUGAGACAGGUGUCGGCAACCUACAGCCCAUGAGUCAAAUCGAGCCCACUCCCUCUUUUUGUACAACCCACAAGCUGAGAAUGGCUUUUACAUUUUAAGGGGUUGGGGGAAAAAAUCAAAAGAAGAGUAACAUUGUGACGUGAAAGCUGUA